UAGGGAAUCUUCCGCAAUGGACGCAAGUCUGACGGAGCAACGCCGCGUGAGUGAAGAAGGAUUUCGGUUCGUAAAACUCUGUUGUUAGAGAAGAACAGCGCAUAGAGUAACUGUUAUGCGUGUGACGGUAUCUAACCAGAAAGCCACGGCUAACUACGUGACAGCAGCCGAGGUAAUACGUAGGUGGCAAGCGUUGUCCGGAUUUAUUGGGCGUAAAGCGAGCGCAGGCGGUCAAUUAAGUCUGAUGUGAAAGCCCCCGGCUCCACCGGGGAGGGUCCUUGGCCCCUGGUUUACUUGCGUGCCGAGGCGGAGAGUGGCUUUCCUUGUGUCGCGGUGAAAUGCGUAGCUAUAUGGCGGCACCCCAGUGGCGCAGGCGACUCUCUGGUCUGUAACUGACGCUGAGGCUCGAAAGCGUGGGUAGCAAACAGG
rnacentral:rRNA from 1 species